rnacentral:rRNA from 1 species
AUGACGAGCAUGCGGCCGCCGCAGCCGCAGGCCAUCGCGCGGGUCUCCAUCUCGGCGCUGGCGAUCUCCCUGCCGAUCAUCUACGUGUCGCUGCUGCGUGUGCCGCCGUCCGCGCUCGCCAGGGACUCCACCUUCUGGUUCCUCAUGUCCCACUCCAUCAUCGCCAUCAUCGCCGCCGACUCCGGCGUGCUCUUCUUUAGCUCCGCACCCCACCACCAAUACGACGACCACGACCACGACAACCUCUCCGACGUCGUCGGUCUCCACCCGGCGGACGCAGUCCAAGAGGACUACUGUGACGUGACGUCGGUGCCGCUGAUGGCACCCCACGAGCCAACGGCGCCGGUCGAUAUAUCCACUAGUGUCGUCGUAGGAGGUGGUGACCAGCCAUCAUGCACUGGCAUGGAGGAGGAGGGGCAUGCGCUGGCUUUGACCAAAGGUAAAGGUGCCGCGAACAAGCGGAAAACUGACACGGACCAUACGUCGGUUCUUGAUAAAAGAAGAAGAAGAAGCGCCCGAACCAGUUAG